GUGGAGUCGAUCAGGUGUGGUCGUAUUUUGCUGAUGCUGCGUCUGCGUUCUUUCCAUGACCUUCGUUACUGAUACCAGUGGAAUAUGCCGGUCGCGUGGCUGCUUGGCCUUGCUGAGGUUGCAUUUUGUGUGUCCGGUGAUCGCCCUGCUGAUGUCGGUGAAUCGUACGAGGUUAUAUUGAAUCAUGGAUACUGACAUGUCUGGAGCUGUAGAGUGUAAGAAAAAGAAAAGGAAUAGAGGGAAGCGCAGGCCGUUCGUACCUCCUGUGGUCGAAGUGG